rnacentral:rRNA from 1 species
AAGGUAGCAAAAUCAAUUGUUCAUUAAUUGUGGACUGGUAUCAAUGGCUUGACGAUAGAAAAACUGUCUCUUUCUACUUCCUUAGAACUUUAUUAAAGAGUGAAGAAGCUCUUAUAAGUUAGCGGGACGAGAAGACCCCGUUGAGCUUUAGGUGCUUAAACUUACUUAAAAGUUUACCACUUUUGGUUGGGGCAACCGAUUUUAAUAUUAAACAAAAAUAAUCAAAAAAUGAAUUAAAUCUUAUCUUUAAGCCUUAAUUUUAAGAAAAUAUAAUAAGUUACCACGGGGAUAACAGCGUAAUUUUUUUUGAGAGUUCUUAUUGACAAAAAAGUUUGCGACCUCGAUGUU